UCUCCGAGAAACUGGAUUUGCUGUAAAUUAAAUUGCCCUUUAAAUCGACUAUGAACAGUAGCUGAAAUCAAAAAUUUUAAUCAUACAGGCCUAUAUUUUACAGUGUGCACAUUUCACAUAACAUAACCACCAGCCAGGAUUUAUCUAGGCCAGGGUCCAAAUACUUUCUGUAGAAGGCCAGAAUGGAAACAGUUCCAGUUUGGGGGGACCAUACAACUUGUCUCAAAUAGUCAACUCUGCAGCUGUUGCAUACAAAAGCUAAAGGAAUGGCGGUGGCUGUGUCCCAAUAAAAAGAUACAGACAUUGAAAUUUUAAUUUCAUACAAUUUUUUGUGUCCAAAAAUAGCAUUCUUUAAAUAUUUUUUCCAACCAUUUAAAUAUGUAAAAACCUUUCUUUGCUCACAGGCCAUACAAACACAGGCAGCAGGCCCGAUUUGACCCACAAGGCAUAGUUUACCAUCUCUAGUGUACACUAACAUAAACUGCUCUACUUUUCCAAAGAAGUACGCUUUAGGACAGAGGAGGAUGAACGAGUAUGUCGGGGAGUGGGGGGGCGCGGAGCUUCAUGAUACCCUCAAUCAGUCACCACAAGCUAGACAGUUUACAAAGGUCUGCUUUAUCACUGAAUUGAUAAAAUACACAUUAUUUUUUAUUUAUUUAUUUAUUUUUUUGAGACGGAGUCUCGCUCUGUCGCCCAGGCUGGAGUGCAAUGGUGCGAUCUCCGCUCACUGCAAACUCCGCCUCCUGGGUUCACGCUAUUCUCCUGCCUCAGCCUCCCCAGUCGCUGGGACUACAGGCGCCUGCCACCACGCCCAGCUAAUUUUUUGUAUUUUUAGUAGAGACGGGGUUUCACCGUGUUAGCCAGGAUGGUCUCGAUCUCCUGACCUUGUGAUCCGCCCGCCUCGGCCUCCCAAAGUGCUGGGAUUACAGGCGUGAGCCACCGUACCCGGCCAUCAUUAAUUUUUAUUAAGGUUACUGUAUUGCUUACCAUAUACAAUUGCUACUUAAAUUCUCUAAUCUUUCUGCCUGAAUUCUUUAAAUAAAGUUAACACUGCUUGGUAUAACCCCAGCACAACACAGGAUAAUGCUCCCAGUACUCCCAGUGACACAAACCUGCUAGAGAAAGGAAAACGAUUAUCCAUGAUAGUAUGAGACCUUAACUCUACAAAAAUUUUGAAAACUAGCUGAGCACGGUGGUGCAACCCUGUGGUCCCAAGCUACUUGGGAGGCUGAGAUGGGAGGAUCACUUAAGCCCAGGAGGUCAAGGCUGCAGUGACCUAUGUUCAUACCACUGCACUCCAGCCUGGGCGACAGAGUGAGACCAACUCAAAAAACAAACAAACAAACAAACAAACAAACUUUCUCUCUCGAGUCCAGUGAUUCUCCCUCAACGCUCAAGACUCCAGCAUGAACUGUUAGGCAUUGGGUUUUUCUGUGUUUACAGCAGACCAUGGUAAAAAGAAGUCCCAAGUCACAGCCAGAACGCCAAAGUAAGAUCUGUUGAGUGCUAGGCUCAUGGACUGAGCCUAAUCUUAUUUUCCACUCUGCCUCAAACAAAACAACUCAUUUGCCCAUACAACCCAUGGCAUCCUUUCACAGUAACAAGGACAACAGGACACCUCCAGUACUUUUUAUUUUUUUUGAGAUGGGAGUCACCCAGGCUGGAGUGCAGUGGCGCGAUCUCGGCUCACUGCAACCUCCGCUUCCCCGAUUCAAGCGAUUCUCCUGCUUCAGCCUCCUGAGUAGCUGGGAUUAAAGGUGCGUCCCACCGUGCCUGGCUAAUUUUUGUAUUUUUAGUAGAGACGGAGCUCUGCCAUGUUGGUCAGGCUGGCCUUGAACUCCUGACCUCAUGACCCGCCCGCCUUGGCCUCCCAAAGCGCUAGGAUUACAGACGUGAGCCACCGCGCCCGGCAAUAUCUCCAAUACUUUAAUACUUGGUUGAAAAGAACCCAUUGCACUGUUUCCCACUGUUUGUCCCAGUACUUUAGUUUUA
rnacentral:lncRNA from 10 species